rnacentral:rRNA from 1 species
CUGCAUGGCUGUCGUCAGCUCGUGUCGUGAGAUGUUGGGUUAAGUCCCGCAACGAGCGCAACCCUUGUCAUUAGUUGCUACGUUCAGUUGGGCAACUCUAAUGAGACUGCCGGUGACAAGCCGGAGGAAGGUGGGGAUGACGUCAAGUCCUCAUGGCCCUUAUAGGUGGGGCUACACACGUCAUACAAUGGCUGGUACAAAGGGUUGCCAACCCGCGAGGGGGAGCCAAUCCCAUAAAGCCAGUCGUAGUCCGGAUCGUAGUCUGCAACUCGACUACGUGAAGUCGGAAUCGCUAGUAAUCGUGGAUCAGAAUGUCACGGUGAAUACGUUCCCGGGUCUU